CUUGAAGAUGAUGUGUCUCGGAGUUUGUUCCUUCAGAUGUUCAGAUAUGUCCAGAGUUUCUUCCUUCCAGUGGGUUCGUGGUCUCACUGACUUCAGGAAUGAAGCUGCAUACGCUCACGCUCCACAGAAAAGUUCUCCAAGUCCCCACUCGACCCAGGAAGUCCUGCUGUCUUCACCUGUCACCAGCUACUGGGGAGGCUGAGGCAGGAGAAUCGCUUGAACCCAGGAGGUGGAGGUUGCUGGGAGCCAAGCCAAGAUCACGCCACUACACUCCAG
rnacentral:lncRNA from 10 species